rnacentral:tRNA from 1 species
AUGCUAUUAGUAUAAGAUCAUAUUAUACCUCCCUUCCAAGGAGAAGAUCUAUUUAAUUAGAUAGUAUA